UUUACCCCGUGGUACACCACGGGUCUAGUAUUUAAUGUGUCUCUCUUAAAUAAAUCUUUAACCCUUCUAGUUUAAUCAGUUCCAUACAAAGUUCGUGUAGCAUAAUCUUGGAGGUCGAACCGGAAGAAUAUAUUCUUUGGAUUUUAAGGUUCAGUUAAAGUUUUAAAAUCUAGAAUUUACCCCAUGAUACACCAUGGAUCUAUUUUUUCUUUGAUAGGUUAUUUAAAUAAGUUAAUAUAGUGAUAUGAUUAAAAUUCUUGGUUCAUAGAUGUUAC
rnacentral:lncRNA from 1 species